CAAACGUAGUUAGCCGUGGCUUUCUGAUUAGGUACCGUCAAGAUGUGCACAGUUACUUACACAUUUGUUCUUCCCUAAUAACAGAGUUUUACGAGCCGAAACCCUUCAUCACUCACGCGGCGUUGCUCCGUCAGGCUUUCGCCCAUUGCGGAAGAUUCCCUACUGCUGCCUCCCGUAGGAGUCUGGACCGUGUCUCAGUUCCAGUGUGGCCGAUCACCCUCUCAGGUCGGCUACGUAUCGUCGCCUUGGUAAGCCGUUACCUUACCAACUAGCUAAUACGGCGCGGGUCCAUCUAUAAGUGAUAGCAAAAACCAUCUUUCACUUUAGAACCAUGCGGUUCUAAAUAUUAUCCGGUAUUAGCUACCGGUUUCCCGAAGUUAUCCCCAGUCCUUAUACGGUAGGUUACCAACGUGUUACUCACCCGUCGCCGCUAACUUCAAAGGAGCAAGCUUCUAUCUGUUCGCUCGACUUGCAUCGUAUUAGGUCACGCCGCCAGCGUUACGAUCCGUAGAGCAAGGACUCAAAACGUCUA
rnacentral:rRNA from 1 species